UGCUAUCACUUAUAGAUGGACCCGCGCCGUAUUAGCUAGUUGGUAAGGUAACGGCUUACCAAGGCGACGAUACGUAGCCGACCUGAGAGGGUGAUCGGCCACACUGGAACUGAGACACGGUCCAGACUCCUACGGGAGGCAGCAGUAGGGAAUCUUCCGCAAUGGGCGAAAGCCUGACGGAGCAACGCCGCGUGAGUGAUGAAGGGUUUCGGCUCGUAAAACUCUGUUAUUAGGGAAGAACAAACGUGUAAGUAACUGUGCACGUCUUGACGGUACCUAAUCAGAAAGCCACGGCUAACUACGUGCCAGCAGCCGCGGUAAUACGUAGGUGGCAAGCGUUAUCCGGAAUUAUUGGGCGUAAAGCGCGCGUAGGCGGUUUCUUAAGUCUGAUGUGAAAGCCCACGGCUCAACCGUGGAGGGUCAUUGGAAACUGGGAAACUUGAGUGCAGAAGAGGAAAGUGGAAUUCCAUGUGUAGCGGUGAAAUGCGCAGAGAUAUGGAGGAACACCAGUGGCGAAGGCGACUUUCUGGUCUGUAACUGACGCUGAUGUGCGAAAGCGUGGGGAUCAAACAGGAUUAGAUACCCUGGUAGUCCACGCCGUAAACGAUGAGUGCU
rnacentral:rRNA from 1 species